rnacentral:tRNA from 1 species
GAGGGUAUAGCUCAGUGGUAGAGUGCAUGUUUAGCAUGCACAGGGUCCUGGGUUCAAUCCCCAGUACCUUCA